GAUCUCCUACGGGAGGCAGCAGUGGGGAAUAUUGGACAAUGGGGGCAACCCUGAUCCAGCCAUGCCGCGUGUGUGAAGAAGGCCUUAGGGUUGUAAAGCACUUUCAGUGGUGAGGAAGGUUGCGAGGUUAAUACCCUUGUAAUUUGACGUUAGCCACAGAAGAAGCACCGGCUAACUCUGUGCCAGCAGCCGCGGUAAUACAGAGGGUGCAAGCGUUAAUCGGAAUUACUGGGCGUAAAGCGCGCGUAGGUGGUUUGUUAAGUCUGAUGUGAAAUCCCAGGGCUCAACCUUGGAAUGGCACCGGAUACUGGCAGGCUAGAGUACGGUAGAGGAGUGUGGAAUUUCCUGUGUAGCGGUGAAAUGCGUAGAUAUAGGAAGGAACACCAGUGGCGAAAGCGACA
rnacentral:rRNA from 1 species